rnacentral:lncRNA from 1 species
UUUACUUCAAGUUGGGAUCGAAUUAUGCUAAUAUUACUUAAUAAUGAAAAACGAACUAGACAUAUCGAAUGGCAUUAAACAACAAGAUUCAAAUUAUACACCUUUAAGGGACUGAAUGCUAACAUUGCCUCCCUGGUUAUAUAGUUCGGCUAUUUCUAUCUUUCGUAUUUGCUAGCAUACCUAUCUAGUAUUUCAAACAGACUUAGUUGUUACAGAAACUCACAAACAUAAAAACUAAAUUAGGUAUUCAACUUCUAAGGUAAGUCCGAGAGAAUAUUUACUACGUAGUCCACUUGCUACAAAUUAUAAAGCAUUCCAUUCAUCAAGUUCCACUAUAGCUACUGCAGGAAUACAUUUAAACUAUACAAAAACUUAAACAAGUUGAUGUCCCUGAACGCAGGCCGAAUUUCAUUUCUUCAAUUAGUUCUCACAAACUGAUUAUUUCAAUCUUUCAUACAUCAACUGGAGAUGAAGAAGUACCUGGAAAUCAGUACAAUGGAAGAAGAAAUCAGCAGUAGCAACGGAACAGUAGUACAACAGCAACAAUGAUAACAAGAAACAGGCAGUCCAAAACCCAGAUUUAUAAAACCAGCAAAAUAAACUCCAGCAACAACCAGUGGAACAAAAACCCAACAACAGAUUUAAAACCCAGCAACAACCAAUAGAACAGUAAGUCUCUGAUCUUCAAACACUCGGAGAAAGAAACUUGGAACUUCAAAUGAAGCAGUAGCAAAUACUAGCACUGAUUUCCGAUAGCAAAAGAAACCUCACAUUUCUGUUCUUAUCUCUCAAUUUUCUCUCUUUAAGGAUUUUCAAAAGCCAAUCUAAUUUUCUCUAACACUACUGACUUCUCCAAUUGAUCCCCCUUCCUCUGUCUAAGACCUCUUCUAUUUAUAUCCACCACUAGACCCCUCUUCCUAGCCCUUCUUUUUCUGUUACUAUCACCUUUUAUUAUUACUUAUACCUCUUUUUAUUUUCCAGCUUCCAUAUUCCUCUAGUAUGUGCAUCUUUUAGAUUUUCAUUAUUAAUCUACUAUUUCUAAUUUCCAAUUAGUAAAAGCUACUGGGCCCACCCCCUAUCAACUGUCUUGUGUCAUUUUUUAAUUCAAAGUUAUGGGUACCUAUUUGUUUAAUUAAUCCCUUUACUUCCCCAUUGUUAUUACUUCAUCAUCCUAAGCUUUACAAGUCUUAAGUUGCAUCUAUGUAAGUUCAAACCUGAAACUAAUUUCUGGUUAAACACCUAAAUAAUUAUAGCUAUAUCCAAUUCACAAUUCUAGUCAAACACAAUGAUUUAAGGCAGAAAAUUCAAUUCAGUCAGACAUGGCACCAAACAAAAGGAACUAAUAAUGCGGGUAAAACUGAAUAUCAACUAGACGUUCAAGCAAUUAUCAGGCUUAAAAUACAAAAUUAACAUAGAAGGAAGCAAAACGGAUAACCUACUAGGAGAAAAAUAUAUACUAUAGACAUGCUAUUCUAUCAACCAAACCUGAAGAAAUAUUCCAUCGACUAUACAAGCCAUAUUGAACAACAAUUAUCGAAAAACAAUCAGAAAAAAGACAACAAGUGAUUCGAGCGGCAUUUGACAAAAAAGGGUGAUUUAUAAUGCAACCAACUAAUCGAUGAAGCUAAUUAAAUUGAUUCAUGAUUUAUGACAUAUAACACUAAACAAACAUACAAUCAGAAUAGAAAGAAAGCUCGACCAAAUAAAAGGGUCUGAUUUGAAAAGAAGAAGAAAAAUGAACAGAGAAAGAAAAAAAACACUAUAACAACACAUAGAAUAAAAAUAAACCAAAAUAAAAGAGGGAAAAUACCUCAGAGAUUAAUUUGGGAACUGACGAACCCAGGUUCGAACUUAGACUCGGACUUUUGGGGUCGAACUGACUUUAACCGAGUGUUCUCAACUGAGAAAACUUCGGCUAAGGUCGAUUGGACAUUCAAAACCUUAUCAAUUUGGACGGAUUCCAAGUUUUGGAAUUCUAGGGUUCUUGGGUCGGAUUUGGGGCUUGAACGGUUUUAGCUUGAUUUGAACCAAACCAAUGACGGUCCGAUGAAGAGGAAGGUCAGGGAGAUGCCCGGUGUGAGUUUGGGCUCGGUUCGGUCAGGUCCAUGUUUGGCUCGAAUCUUCAAACGAAAAUUCGAGAAGCUACAAGCUGAUUCAAGCCAAACGUGCAAGGGAUUUGGGUUGAGGGUCGUCUGCUGGUUUUAGGGUGUUAGUUUCAUGGUCAUCGGAGAAGAUAGAGGUUUCCGGCUGUUCUUUGAUUGAAGAUUCGAAGAACAUGGCUAGGUUUCGAGGUAAGUCAUAGUGAUGGUUGGAAAAGGGAUUUUGAGAGGAGCUCAUGGAGUAAAAAAUGGAGUCAUUUGGCCUACCGUAACCGCCGUGAGGCGAUUCUCGGUGGGCGGAGUUACGGUGGUCUGCGGCGGAGGGUUCAGAUUUGUCUCUAGAUUAGAGACGAAGGCAGGGGGUAUCGCUUGGGCGGCACGGGGUAAGGGAUUGGUGUUAUACAGUUAGGAGAAAAUUUAAUCUGGACCGUCAUAUCAUUCGUGAUCAACGGCCUGCAUUGAUCAACUUAAUGGAAACGACGCC